AUAAUACUCCCUCCGUUCGAAAUUACUUGUCUCAAAAAUGGAUGUAUCUAGAUGUAUUUUAGUUCUAAAUACAUCCAUUUUUGAGACAAGUAAUUCCGAACGGAGGGAGUAUAUC
rnacentral:pre_miRNA from 1 species